rnacentral:miRNA from 14 species
UGUGUGUAUAUAUAUGUGUAUAUGUGUAUAUAUGUGUAUGUGUAUAUACAUAGACACACACACACACACACACACACACACACACACACAUAU